GGAGCCUACGGGGGGCAGCAGUGGGGAAUAUUGCGCAAUGGGGGCAACCCUGACGCAGCAACGCCGCGUGAUUGAAGAAGGCCUUCGGGUUGUAAAGAUCUUUAAGCAGGGACGAAGAAAUGACGGUACCUGAAGAAUAAGCUCCGGCUAACUACGUGCCAGCAGCCGCGGUAAUACGUAGGGAGCAAGCGUUAUCCGGAUUUACUGCGUGUAAAGGGCGUGUAGGCGGGCCUGUAAGGCAGAAG
rnacentral:rRNA from 1 species